AAAUGCAAAAAUCAAUAUGGCUGACUGCAUGACACGCGGUUAGAUUUAAAUUGAUUGUGUCAGCUCAUCGAAUCGUGAGUGAAAAAGAAAAUAACAAGAAAAAAAGUAAUCUGCUAUUUUAAAGAGAACAAAGAAACAAUGCCUGUAUGUGUUGUAUAAAAAAUUGUACCAAUAACACUACUACGCGUAAUAAUACUAAUAAGGAACAAGUAAAAUAUUUUACUUUUCCCAAAAAUAAUGCUCUUCGUGAACAGUGGCUUAAUGUCUGUCAAAAUAAAUCAAAUAAAAGAAACCGAUAUGAAAAUUGAUUUGGCAAGAGUAUGUAGUCUUCAUUUUGACUGUUUUGAAUUGGAAAAGACACAACCACGAUCCAAAAUUACACCAAUAAAAGAAAUUUUACGGUUAAAAAAAGACUCUAUUCCAAUUAAAAAGUUAAUAUUAGAAAAAAAAGAAAAGAAAUAAUAUCGUCGCAGAAUAAAGAAGACAAUAAAAGAGUUAAAGUACUGUAAUAAGCUUGGAGCGAUAUAUGUAUGUCUGAAUGCGCUGCUAGAAGACAGUGACCAUCUCGUAAUUUCGGCGCGUCUAACUGAUGAAACCCGAGAUUUUUUCGAUAGCAAAUUUGAUAUGAUGAGAAAAACACCCAUUUUCGUGAACGUAGUUCGCAGUGAAAUUGUCAAUACCGAUGCACUUGUGAGAGCUCUUGCUGCAAAUAAGAUAUUCGCUGCUGGUUUAGACGUUACUGAUCCAGACCCGCUACCACAGAAUCAUAUACUUCUGACAUUACAUAAUGUCGAAAUUACGCCACAUUUGGGCAGCGCGACAAUCAAGACUCGCGACAAAAUGUCGAAAGUAACAGCGGAAAAUAUUAUCCGCAUGCGGCCUUAAGGGCGAGAAUAUGGAAUAUCCUCUCCUAUCUCAUUCUGUACCUCGCCUAUACAAUAACUUAUUUUUUAUAUGUGUUGCACAUUUCUUAUAUUUAUUAUUUUACCUACUAUAAAAUGUUACUAAAAAAUAAUUGUUUAUUCAUGAUGUAAUAAAAUUCUCUGUGAUUCAUUUUUAGUUUAGACAAAUUAUCGAUUAGU